UUUUUUAACUAAAAGGUGAAUGAUAUUUUCUGUUUCAAUAAGUUAUUUCAGCUUGUUCUUCUCUCUUACCAGCAUUUCUCAUUAGCAAAAUGUAUCGUUUUGUAGCAAAUCUUGCUUCCAAAGCCAGAGUGGCAAGAACCAACACCCAACAAAUUGGUGGAAGGUUAAAUUGGAGUAGAAGUUAUGCUGCAAAGGAUAUUAGAUUUGGUGUUGAAGCUCGAGCCGCAAUGCUUCAAGGUAUUGUAGAACUUGCGAUCUUUGUUAAAGUCACUAUGGGUCCAAAGG